rnacentral:rRNA from 1 species
UACGGGGGGGGCAAGCGUUGUUCGGAAUUACUGGGCGUAAAGGGCUCGUAGGCGGCCAACUAAGUCAGACGUGAAAUCCCUCGGCUUAACCGGGGAACUGCGUCUGAUACUGGAUGGCUUGAAUCCGGGAGAGGGAUGCGGAAUUCCCGGUGUAGCGGUGAAAUGCGCAGAUAUCGGGAGGAACACCGGUGGCGAAGGCGGUUCUCUGGGCCUUACCUGACGCUGAGGAGCGAAAGCGUGGGGAGCGAACAGG